UCCCUGGCAGUCCAGUGGUUGGGACUCUGCGCUUCCAAUGCAGGAGGCUCGGGUUCAAACCCUGAUUGGGGAG
rnacentral:tRNA from 1 species